UAGACUCCCUCUCUCCCUGCCUUAAGAGGAAGUAGAGUAGGUAACUUGAACAUCAUUUCUGAAAAUUUACUGACUCCUAAGUUAUUCUUAGUCACCCUUAUUUUAGCAUAAAUGAAUUUAGAUCCUUUCUUGAAAGAGGGAGUGGAUAUAAAAGGGUGUAAGAAUGGGAAAAAUAGAACUGAUAUAGUCAAUAUUAUCUUCAGAGUAUGGGAAAUCUGGAUGCCACGCAGAGCUGCAGGGCCUGACUUUGUGUUCCUACAGGCAAAACUAGAAGCCCUGGAAGGGGAAGAAAUGGGGAUGCAAUGGGAGCUACUCACCAUCUGAAGUGUAAGAACUCCAUGGAGAAAGACCAGCAGACUCACACACCAGGCCAUGCUGAGUGGUUACUCCUUCAAUGUUUGCUGAGAGAAUCCAUAAACGGGAUGCAACGCAGGAUGAGUUUGACCUGACUAGUGCCUUGUACAGCUGUCUAGGUCAGAAGAUGGAACUUUCAAGAGCAAAAAAGACCUAAAGCAGAAAUAACUAGUGGGUUCUAGAAAAUCAGGGUCUGGUUAACCUGACACCACCAAGAUGCUGGCUGCUUUGUGACUCGCAUCCCCCGAACCCCAUCACAGGUGGAAAAUACCUUUAAUUCCCCAUCCACAGAGGCCCGUGAGGUAUUUUCCAGGGCUCUCGACUCAGCAGGGCAGUGGGUGACUCUGCAGCCUCCUCCAGGAGCCACUGGAGACCCACCGAGCCCUGUGGGUCAGCGAGCCUGGUUCCCAGAGGGCAAAGUUGAUGGAGGACAGCUCCCCAGCGGGACUGUCCUUCUCCUGAGCUUAUUUCCUGCUGUGGGGGAGACACUGCUGGUCACUCCUUUGGAAGCAGGAACCAUCUGAAGAGCUCUGAUGUGAGUAUUUGUUGACUACUGAAGGGUCCCAGAAUAUGUACCCCAAAAUACACCUUUUGGGGAUCUGAAUUAUUUUGAGCUAAGGCUGUUGACAGCCAGGAGCUAUAGGGAAAGUUCUAAAAACAGAGCAUAGGUUCUCCUUUUUUAAAUGAAAUUUCCAUUUGUUAAAGGUGUUUCCCUGUCCAGUACCACAAAGAGGAGGGACUCUUAACAACACCCACUAAUACAGAAGGCACUGCCUUGAAUCUGCACAAUAAGCCUUACAAGGCAACCCUUGUCACAUACCUUC
rnacentral:lncRNA from 1 species